CCGUGUGCUGUGGCUCCUGCAUCCCCGUCCCUGCUCACUGCUGGCCUCCUUUCCCUUCCCGGCAGGCGGCUCCUGCGGCUGCGCUGGCCCCUGCACCUGCAAAGCCUGCAGAUGCGCCUCCUGCAAGAAGAGCUGCUGCUCCUGCUGCCCCGUGGGCUGCGCCAAGUGUGCCCAGGGCUGCGUCUGCAAAGGGGCCUCGGACAAGUGCAGCUGCUGUGCCUGAUGUCGCGGAGAGCCUGCCCCGGGUGU